UACUAUUGGCAACCUCUGAAGUGAUCUGUUGCGCAUUCAAACUAUCCCAUAUUUUCACAUUAAGAAAAACACAUUUAUUAACAUUGGAAUACCAGUAUUUAAUACACUACCAGGACACAUCUUCUUAUUUAAUGUUUUUUCUUUAUUUUCAUGACUAUUCACAUUGUAGAUUCUCACUGAAGGCAUCAGAACUAUGAAUGAACACAUAUGAAUGACCUGACAUCAUGGCUCGUCCUUUCCAUAGCAUUUGUGUUGAACCUCAUCGAUUGCUUUUUUGCUUCCCCCUGAGUUCUUGUGCUGCUCACUAUUUCACCAUGUACCAGGACACACUGAUUGAUGGUGAGUUAAUGAUACUUAACAUUUUAUCUGUCUCACUCGUUUCUCUGUUAUCAUCUCAUCAAAUGUUACAGGUCAGAGUAUGGAGUCCAUUCCUUCCAGUCGUGUAGAGAAAAGGCCUGGGGAGACUCUCAGUUUCUCCUGUAGAGGAUCAGCCUUCAGUUUUUAUUGCUGUGUUAUCUGGUCUUAUCUGAUCUGGGACAGAGAACCUGCAGGAAAACCCCUGGAAUUGAUCGGGAGCGGCUUUUUCAACUUCCAGCAGAAACAGUUAUGCAAGCAGUUUGAGAGGACGUGUAGAAAUCAGCAGAGAUGAUAGCAACAGCAUGGUGUAUUUGAUCUGAUUUGAUUCCAAUUUGAGGCCAGAUGAUUCUACUAUUUAUUACUGUGCCAAAGAGAAACACAGUGGUUAAAGCAGCUGAAGAGGCUUUACAAAAACAUCCUGCCAUCUAUUUUUAGAAGAACCUAAAGGAAGCAGUUGUUCAUCAAAAACAGGGACACCGGCUGAUGAGACAGUUAUCUCUUAUAAUCUGUCAGCAUCCAUCUAUAUGCAAAGCAAACUUCCUGACAGUCUACUAUAAAGACUUGAAAUCAUGCCGCCAGUUAAAACAGAAGAAGAGAAGUUCCCAUCAGAUUAUCUUGAGUACCAAAAUGUUCUCUGUGGCUCUGCUGCUCCUGCUGGCUGCUGGAUCCUGUGUGAAGUGUGAACAGCUGACACAGCCAGAGUUUGUGACUGUGCAGCCAGGUCAGCGCCUGACCAUCACCUGUCAGGUCUCUUAUUCUCUGAGCUACUAUCGGACAGCUUGGAUCAGACAGCCUGCAGGGAAAGGACUGGAGUUUAUUGGAAGUGCACAUUAUGGAUACAGCACAGGGUACAAAGAUUCACUAAAGAACAAGUUCACCAUCAACUUAGACACUUCAAGCAAGACAAUGACUCUAAAUGGACAAAAUAUGCAGCCUGAAGACACUGCUGUGUAUUACUGUGCCAGAGUCUCACAGUAAUACGAAACAUCAGUGGAGCUGAACAAAAACCUCUCACAGCUCUCAAGUUCUUCCAGCUAAACCUUUGUGUAAAACCACCUGUAAUGAAUGUUAGAAUUGGUUGUGUUUCAUUAUUUGCAAAAAAUAAAAAAUAAAAAAAAUAAAUACAAAU